rnacentral:rRNA from 1 species
UGGGGAAUUUUGGACAAUGGACGCAAGUCUGAUCCAGCCAUGCCGCGUGCGGGAUGAAGCAUCUAUGGUGUGUAAACUGCUUUUGUACGGGAAGAAACCACCCCUCGUGAGGGGUAUUGACGGUACCGUAAGAAUAAGCACCGGCUAACUCCGUGCCAGCAGCCGCGGUAAUACGGAGGGUGCAAGCGUUGUCCGGAUUUAUUGGGUUUAAAGGGUGCGUAGGUGGGUUAUCAAGUCUGAUUUGAAAGCGUGUCGCUUAACGAUACGAUGUGGUUGGAAACUGGUAGUCUUGAAUGGGGUAGCGGUAGCCGGAAUGGGUCAUGUAGCGGUGAAAUGCAUAGAUAUGACCCGGAACACCGAUUGCGAAGGCAGGCUACUGGGCCUUAAUUGACACUGAGGCACGAGAGCAUGGGUAGCGAACA